UAUAGAACUGCUUUCAGGGACCAUAGGAACAUCACUCCCAAUGGCAACAGCACUGCCAGCACUGAUGAAGUGAGGGAGGAUAGAUCUGUGACAGCUGUAGGCUGAAGGAUGUUUUGGAGUAGGAUAUACUUUAUAGUUUUUUAGGUUGUCCAGAGUGGUUUGGGAAAGGAGUUGGUUUUUACCAUCUAAGUAUGACGUGGUUAUGGAAUGCUUGCAUUGGUAUUCUACUGAACCUGCAAAUAUAAUCAUACAUUGCAAUUUUCUUUUUUUUCUUGCAGGUAGGGUCAGCAGGGACAAGUGCCAAAUACAGGGAAAGAGGGAGUCAUUUUUUCAGCAAAGAGAGCGGGCCAUGUUUUGCUAUGGAAGCAACAACACGAAAUAAAAACCCAGAAAAAUAUCAAGGUCACUGUAACUGAAGUUUCUUAUAAGUAAUAAAAAUGCCUCUAAACUGGAAGUAUUUUGAAGG
rnacentral:lncRNA from 1 species